rnacentral:rRNA from 1 species
UAGGGAAUCUUCGGCAAUGGGGGGAACCCUGACCGAGCAACGCCGCGUGAGUGAAGAAGGUUUUCGGAUCGUAAAGCUCUGUUGUUAAGGAAGAACGAGUGUGAGAAUGGAAGGUUCAUACUGUGACGGUACUUAACCAGAAAGGGACGGCUAACUACGUGCCAGCAGCCGCGGUAAUACGUAGGUCCCGAGCGUUGUCCGGAUUUAUUGGGCGUAAAGCGAGCGCAGGCGGUUAGAUAAGUCUGAAGUUAAAGGCAGUGGCUCAACCAUUGUAGGCUUUGGAAACUGUUUAACUUGAGUGCAGAAGGGGAGAGUGGAAUUCCAUGUGUAGCGGUGAAAUGCGUAGAUAUAUGGAGGAACACCGGUGGCGAAAGCGGCUCUCUGGUCUGUAACUGACGCUGAGGCUCGAAAGCGUGGAGAGCGAACAGG